CCUGGCAUCUGCUCCAUGAGUCCUCUGUUUGGGUCAGUUGCUGAUGAUCAGAAACUUAUGAUUUGGGAUACUCGUUCAAACAAUACUUCCAAACCAAGCCACUCAGUUGAUGCUCACACUGCUGAAGUGAACUGCCUCUUUUCAAUCCUUAUAGUGAGUUCAUUCUUGCCACAGGAUCAGCUGAUAAGACUGUGGCCUUGUGGGAUCUAAGAAAUCUGAAGCUUAAGUUGCAUUCCUUUGAAUCACAUAAGGAUGAAAUAUUCCAGGUAAGAGGAACUAAU